rnacentral:lncRNA from 1 species
UGCUCCCUAAGUACUCCACAGAGGAGUCCCCAGCCCCGAUGCUGCCCCGAUGGCCAUAGGGGCACAGCCAAAACAGCACUCUCAAGAGGCAAGUUUUCAAGGACAACCCCAACUUCAAAAACCACCCUGAGCCAUCGUCUCUUUGCAAACUGGUUCCCCAGAAUGGAAGGUGAUUAGAAUUGCAGGGGUGGGGCUGGGGGGUGUGCAGGGAGGGAGAGAAUGGCGAUGCCUCUCUCAACACUGGAGAGCAAGCCCGGUGCCCCCUCCCAUGGGGUCAGGGAGGGGAGAGACAGCCAUGCUCCGUGUAACUGCCACCCACUGGCUGGUCCUCUAGGCUGAGUCGUGCCCCCAUCCAGGUCCCUAUCACGAGGUGGAGACCAUGGUAGCCCCCUCCCCCUCAGGGGCCUGUUGGGAUGGUCACCUGUAAAGGACCAAACUCCAGCAGCAUGGCCUCCCCUGUGUCAUGGGGAGCUCCGAGUUCCACCUCCCAGUCCGAUCUGCACACAGUCACUCUGAGUCUGCGCAGGGCAGGGCCCUGGCCUCCAUGCUGCGCGCAACACAGGACUAGGACCCACUCCCUGGCCCCUGGGCACUCACAGCCCCAGAGCAAGAGCGGAGUCAGGCAAGCUCCUGGAAGACGGGCUGCACCCCCACAGACAGAGUGGGAAGGGUCCGCGGGCGCCCGCGGUAGGGGGACAAGCAGGCUGGAGUUAGGAGUGGGCCUGAGGUCAGGCUCUGAUUUGCCAACUAGGCGAGGCUGCUCUUGGCUGCAGAAGCUGAAGGAACACAGGAAGGGAAGCUCAGAUGUUGCCAGAAGCAGGCACGCAGCUGGGACUGGGCGAAGGGUCUGUCCCGCGACACGAGCCAGGAGAGCAGAUCUGGGACCUGUGCAGGGCAUGGCUCUGCAGAUCUCAUUGUUUCGAUAG